rnacentral:rRNA from 1 species
UACGUAGGGUCCGAGCGUUGUCCGGAAUUACUGGGCGUAAAGAGCUCGUAGGUGGUUUGUCGCGUUGUUCGUGAAAACUCACAGCUUAACUGUGGGCGUGCGGGCGAUACGGGCGACUUGAGUACUGCAGGGGAGACUGGAAUUCCUGGUGUAGCGGUGGAAUGCGCAGAUAUCAGGAGGAACACCGGUGGCGAAGGCGGGUCUCUGGGCAGUAACUGACG